rnacentral:rRNA from 1 species
CGGGUAUCUAGAGAGCGGCGUACGGGUGCGGAACACGUAUCCAACCUGCCGAUAACUCGGGGAUAGCCUUUCGAAAGAAAGAUUAAUACCCGAUGGUAUAAUCAGACCGCAUGGUUUGAUUAUUAAAGAAUUUCGGUUAUCGAUGGGGAUGCGUUCCAUUAGGCAGUUGGUGAGGUAACGGCUCACCAAACCUUCGAUGGAUAGGGGUUCUGAGAGGAAGGUCCCCCACAUUGGAACUGAGACACGGUCCAA